CAAUAGACACCAUGAGCUCCCAACUAGCUGCUCUGGUUCUAAGCAGUAAGAAUUCGGUAGAUCUAUAACAAAUUGAUGAGGUGGCCAGUGGAACCUACCUCCAGUAGUCUAGCCCAAACACGGAGCUAAGGUGAUGUCUCCUUCAAGAACACUAAAUUCAUACUUACGAUUUUUUGUGAGAAGACCCUUGCAUCUCAACACCCUCCGCAUUUCCUGCUACAUGGUAGUACAGCUGCACUCACCACUCACCACUCACAACUGGCUCAUUUGCAGCUCUUUGGUGGUCAAUGCUUUGUCCCAUAUUGCUCACAGCCAUCACAAUUUCCUUGGGAAUUGCUAUCACUGCCCUAUUAUCAACAGUGGAAGACCUAU
rnacentral:lncRNA from 1 species